GCCGUCGUGGCGUAAUGGUAGCGCGUCGCUUUCCUACGAUUACGCAAUUUAAAAGGCGAAGGUUGUGGGUUCGAUCCCCACCGUCGGUA